GUGCCACCUAAGCUAAGUAGAGUAAGAAGAGGUCGUCCAAAUUCAAGUAGAAUCAAAUGUGUUGCUUGCCUUGAACUCAAGUGAGGAAUACGAUUCUUUCCACAGCCAGCUUUCCUACUAUAUAAGAGGUUUAUCUUUUUGUUCCUUGAUGUAUCAACUUCAAGUGAAAGUUGUGGGUAGAACUAUCACUCAGAAACCCACUAAUAGCGCACUUCCGUAUUUUCUAUGGAUUUGAUACAUGCUUCCAAUUAAAAACACUGCCUCAGAAUCUUUAAUGAUUCAAGAC
rnacentral:lncRNA from 1 species